rnacentral:piRNA from 1 species
UAAGAAGAUCUGUGAACGACACUGGGCA